rnacentral:rRNA from 1 species
GGUGAACGCUGGCGGUGUGCCUAACACAUGCAAGUCGAACGACCGCACGAGAAGAUUGUUCUCUUACCGGUGGCGACUGGCGGGCGGGUGACGCGUGCAUCACAUUCUUCUUUUUCUGGGAUAAUAACGGGAGACAACUUACACUACUGCCUCAUAUAAUCUACGGGUGGAAGCAAUAGAUAUUCUCAGCUUUCGCGAUUCAAUUAGCCGAUGUCGGAUUAGCUAGUUUGCGGGGUAAGGGCCCACCAAGGCGACGAUCCGUAGCUGGUCUGAGAGGAUGAUCAGCCACACUGGAACUGAGACACGGUCCAGACUCCUACGGGAGGCAGCAGUGGGGAAUAUUGGACAAUGGGCGAAAGCCUGACGCAGCAAUACCGCGUGGGUGAAGAAGGUCUUCGGGUUGUAAAGCCCUUUUGUUGGGAAAGAACAGCUGCAGGUUAAUACCCGGCUGUUCUGACGGUACCCAAAGAAUAAGCACCGGCUAACUACGUG